rnacentral:rRNA from 1 species
UACGUAGGGGGCAAGCGUUGUCCGGAUUUAUUGGGCGUAAAGAGCGUGUAGGCGGCCAGGUAGGUCUGCUGUGAAAACUCGAGGCUCAACCUCGAGAUGUCGGCGGAAACCAUCUGGCUAGAGUCCGGAAGAGGAGAAUGGAAUUCCCAGUGUAGAGGUGAAAUUCGUAGAUAUUGGGAAGAACACCGGUGGCGAAGGCGGCGAGCUGGUCCAUUACUGACGCUGAGGCGCGACAGCGUGGGGAGCAAACAGG